GAUCAUGGCUCAGGAUGAACGCUGGCGGCGUGCCUAACACAUGCAAGUCGAACGGCAGCGAGGAGUGCUUGCACUCUGUCGGCGAGUGGCGAACGGCUGAGUAACGCGUAGGAACGUACCCCAAAGUGAGGGAUAAGCCCGAGAAAUCGGGUCUAAUACCGCAUAUGAUCUUCGGAUUAAAGCAUUUAUGCGCUUUGGGAACGGCCUGCGUCGGAUUAGGUUGUUGGUGAGGUAAUGG
rnacentral:rRNA from 1 species